GCAAGUCGAGCGGAAACGAAGGAGCUUGCUUCUAGGCGUCGAGCGGCGGACGGGUGAGUAAUGCUUGGGGAUCUGCCCUGUUGUGGGGGAUAACAAAUGGAAACGGUUGCUAAUACCGCAUAAUACUUACGAGUCAAAGGUGGCCUCUCCUUGGAAGCCAUCGCGACAGGAUGAACCCGAGUGGGAUUAGCUAGUUGGUGAGGUAAAGGCUCACCAAGGCGACGAUCCCUAGCUGGUCUGAGAGGAUGAUC
rnacentral:rRNA from 1 species